rnacentral:rRNA from 1 species
AUUGAACGCUGGCGGAAUGCUUUACACAUGCAAGUCGAACGGCAGCACGGGGGCAACCCUGGUGGCGAGUGGCGAACGGGUGAGUAAUACAUCGGAACGUGCCCAGUCGUGGGGGAUAACUACGCGAAAGCGUGGCUAAUACCGCAUACGAUCUACGGAUGAAAGCGGGGGACCGGCAAGGCCUCGCGCGAUUGGAGCGGCCGAUGGCAGAUUAGGUAGUUGGUGGGGUAAAGGCCUACCAAGCCGACGAUCUGUAGCUGGUCUGAGAGGACGACCAGCCACACUGGGACUGAGACACGGCCCAGACUCCUACGGGAGGCAGCAGUGGGGAAGUUUUGGUACGAAUAGG